UUUAUGGAGAGUUUGAUCCUGGCUCAGGAUGAACGCUGGCGGCGUGCCUAAUACAUGCAAGUCGAGCGAACGGAUGAGAAGCUUGCUUCUCUGAUGUUAGCGGCGGACGGGUGAGUAACACGUGGAUAACCUACCUAUAAGACUGGGAUAACUUC
rnacentral:rRNA from 1 species